AAAGAAAUCUGCCAGAGGAGACACUGUGAUCACGAAGACUUUCCCAUGGCAAGGUUGAUCUAUUGCACACCGAUGUGCCGACCCCUACGAUUUCCCCAAAUGUGGGAAACUCAAUUGCAUAAUUUGAGUGGAAGUGAAGGAUUGUGUUUGUUGUUUUCAC
rnacentral:snRNA from 1 species